UACGUAGGGUGCGAGCGUUGCCCGGAUUUAUUGGGCGUAAAGGGCGCGUAGGUGGCCAACUAAGUCAGACGUGAAAUCCCUCAGCUUAACUGGGGAACUGCGUCUGAUACUGGAUGGCUUGAGAUUGGGAGAGGGAUGCGGAAAUUCCAGGUGUAGCGGUGAAUGCGUAGAUAUCUGGAGGAACACCGGUGGCGAAGGCGGCAUCCUGGACCAACACUGACACUGAGGAGCGAAAG
rnacentral:rRNA from 1 species